GAAUCUUCUAUCACAGAGAUUUCAUUGAACAGAAUAUGUAGAGUAUGCUAUAGAUUGCAGAUAAAUCUUCGUAUGGAAACUGUAUGUGCAGAUAGCUUAUGUCCACUAUGUCUACUGCAGAUUGCAGAAGGUAAGAAUGUUCAGAUGGAAAAAAUGAGUUCUCUUUGAGCUACAGAUUUUUAAUUUGUGAAGCUUUACAAAGCAGUCCAAUAGUUGUUAUGUGCUAGCAACUGAAAUCACCAGCCAGCUUUGCAAAGUUUCUGCUCUGUUUUCUGCCAUGAGCCACAGAUGUCAACCCUCUCUGAGUCACACCUGCAGGACUUGAAACAGAUAUUUUAAGAAAAGUGAAAAAUCUGUUCAAACUUGAACAUGUAAAGGGGUCUAAUGACUAGCUGGAAGAAGAUAACAUCUUUUGAAACACAAAAUGAAAGUGUUAAUGAAGAUGAACACAGCAAUUACGAGUGAAAGGAAACUUUCAUAUAAACAGUGGGGCAAACUGCUUAGCUGUGGAAGAAUCUGUGAUAAGGUGAAGAAUCAUCAAGGACACAAAGGUGCUGUCUGGGAGCAAUAAGAAGUAAAAAUGUUCAGAGAAAG
rnacentral:lncRNA from 1 species